rnacentral:rRNA from 1 species
AAGUGGGCUUCGGCCCGCAAGUAGAGUGGCGCAAGGGCGAGUAAUGCGUUUCUAACGUACCCCAGGGUCGGGGAUAGCUCACCGAAAGGUGGAUUAACACCCGAUGAACCCACCCGCCGCAUGGCGUGGUGGGCAAAAGCUUGCUGCCCUGGGAGCGGGGAACGUGCUAUCAGGUUGUUGGUGAGGUAACGGCUCACCAAGCCUAAGACGGCUAGCGGGUGUGAGAGCACGACCCGCCGCAUCGGGACUGAGACACUGCCCGGACUCCUACGGGAGGCUGCAGUAACGAAUAUUCCGCAAUGGGCGAAAGCCUGACGGAGCAAUGCCGCGUGCAGGAUGAAGCCCCCUGGGGUGUAAACUGCUGUCAGGGGCUAGAAACACAAUGAUCCGCCCCAAAGGAAGAGCCGGCUAACUCUGUGCCAGCAGCCGCGGUAAUACAGAGGGCUCGAGCGUUAAUCGGUAUCACUGGGCUUAAAGGGUGCGUAGGCGGGUCUGUUAGUGCUUUGUGAAAUCCCAUGGCUCAACCAUGGAACUGCAUAGCAUACUGCAGGCCUUGAGGUCGGUAGGGGCUGUCGGAACUCUAGGUGUAGCGGUGAAAUGCGUAGAUAUCUAGAGGAACACCAAAGGUGAAGACAGGCAGCUGGGCCGAAUCUGACGCUGAGGCACGAAAGCGUGGGUAGCGAACGGGAUUAGAUACCCCGGUAGUCCACGCCCUAAACGAUGUGUACU